UGAGGCUCGUCUUUCUGGUCUUCUGCCAAUU
rnacentral:piRNA from 2 species